rnacentral:lncRNA from 1 species
AAAACCCAGGCGUGGUGGCUCACACCUGUAACCCUAGCACUUUGGGAGGCUGAGGCAAGUGGAUCACCUAAGGUCAGGAGUUUGAGACCAGCCUGGCCAACAUGGUGGAACACUGACUCUACUAAAAAUACAAAAAUUAGCCAGGCAUGGUGGUGGGCACCUGUAGUCUCAACUACUCGGGAGGCUGAGGCAGGAGACUUGCUUGAACCCAGGAGGUAGAGGUUGCAGUGAGCUGAGAUUGCGUCGCUGCAUUCCAGCCUGGGCGACAGAACAAGACUCCAUAUCAAAAAAAAAAAAAAAAAAAGCCUCUGUGGCCUUGGGGCUGGACCAGCUCAAUGAAGUAGGGGGCUCCCUCUGCCAGGCUGCCUGAGCUUGAGGCCCCAGGGCUCAGUCAGGCCGAUCUUGCCUCUUUACCCGCUACUGGGGAAGGUGCAGGAAGCGGAUUUCCUAAGAAACACCUGGGCAAUGGCCUUCUAGACUUGUCUACUUCUGACCUCAAGUCAAGGAAGAGAAGAUUGGUUAAAAUGACUUUCUACCAUGCUAUUUUCUUUGUCAGUUCCUGCAGAGCCUCCAACAAGGUGUGUGGGCAUCCUCUGUCCUUCAGCAUCAGUCACCCAAGCUGGGAACCCCAGAGGAGGAAGCACCUGUUUUUGCCCUAACUUAGGGAAGGGCUUUGGAUUCUCCGCCAUUCAGAAUGAGUCACUGUGAGACUGCGGAGCGGAUUUUACUCAUCCCCCAGGAAUGGACCCUUGGAAGGCUCCAGAAUGACUAGCCUCAAGUGUUCUGUCUCAGGCACGGGGCAUUUUCCCCCACUCCACGUCUGCAGUCACUUCCUCUCUGGACACAUCCUGUUUCUGGGAGCAGGCGGCAUGCCAAGCAGAUUGCAGCCUCUGAGCAGACGGGCGGAGACAUCCUUCCUCUUAUUUCUAGUACCUAAUCCCAUCUUCCUUCCCAGUCAGAGAUAUCGAUCAGCAUCUCUGCUUUUCCCAGGUCCCUGCACGCCAGGGAGGGAGAGUAGAGAAGGAACAUGUUUCUAUUGGCAACUCCAACUUAUUGGAAGUGCUUAGAAACCUCUGCUGAUUUCUCACCAGCUUCUGAAGCACAGCUCGAAGUGGAAGCCAGAGAUGUUAAACACAGUGUCCCUUGUUCAGUUGGGAGAAAAGAGGCAUGAGCACUUCUCCGUGUCUUGGCCCAAGGGCACACACCGUGAGUCAGCGAUGUCUCCCAGAAGGGGUCUGGAGUCCCAUCCACAGGGUCCUGUGAUGUUGCCCUGAUUGGUCUCGAACUUGUGGCAUCAACUGGUCCUCCUGCCUCACCUGCCAAAGUGCUGGGAUUACAGGCGUGAGCCACCAUGCCUGGCCUUCAGUUCACCAUUUAUUUAUCUACUGGAAAAGACCUGGGCCAGAUGCAGUGAAGGGUAGAAGUCCAAAAUCAAGGUGAUGAAAUCAUCCAAUCAAUCACCCAAUCACAGAAGCUAGGGUCACAUUUCCUACCUGUGUCUCUGCAGAUCUGGGCUCCCCCAUGCCAGUUGCCUUCUGCCUUCUCAGGGUGGUAAGAAGGUAGUCCCUACACGCAUCUCUUCCUGAGGAAAUCUGCCCUCGUCUGUAGCUCUAAUACAGCGUCCCAGGCUCCAUCCCUGGAGAUGCUGAUUCUGUAGGUUGGGGUGGGGCCCAUGAAUGUACAUUUCUAAUGCUACUGGUGCAGAGAACCCACCUUGAGAACCACUGCCUUACAGCAGGUAUAAGCCCAGGUAGCUGUGUUUGUACUAAGGGAGCUUGGCCUCCACUGACGGAGCCAAACGUGUGUGGCUGACCAAAAAGCCAAUGAAAUUUUCUCUCCUUAAAACAUGAGAUGGGGACACUGGGAGAUUGAACUAGACACGA